rnacentral:rRNA from 1 species
UGCGUAGGUGGUUUGUUAAGUAGAUAGUGAAAUCUGGGGGGCUCAACCUCACAGGCUAUUAUCUAAACUGGCAAACUCGAGAAUGGUAGAGGUCACUGGAAUUUCUUGUGUAGGAGUGAAAUCCGUAGAUAUAAGAAGGAACACCAAUGGCGUAGGCAGGUGACUGGACCAUUUCUGACACUGAGGCACGAAAGCGUGGGGAGCGAACG